AUGCCGACCGAGGAUGGACUGCUUGGUUUGGUCGGAGUGGAUGGACUCAAUCUCCAUCUAUGGUCAUUGAUGGCGAGCAUUGACGGGUUGGUAACAUGGACACAUCAAAGGGUCAUUGAUUUCAAGCAGUUUCUUGCGCCGGAAGUGGUGGCGACAUGUAUCUAUGGAGUGGAGGCAAUUGCUUUUGCUGAAGAUGCUGGGGUGAUCUUCAUUUAUGUGCACCCUAGCGUCUAUAUGAUCCAUCUCAAGUCCAUGCGGAUCGAGGAGGUGUCAGAGAAAGGGACAUAUGGCACCAUAUUCCUUACACAAGUUUCUAUGCUCUAG
rnacentral:rRNA from 1 species